rnacentral:tRNA from 1 species
AAACUUAGGAUAACCCUAGACCAAGAGCCUUCAAAGCCCUAAGUAGAAGUUAAAAUCUUCUAGUUUCUG